rnacentral:tRNA from 1 species
GGUGGCUCAGUUGGUAGAGUGCUUGUCUUGCAUGCAUGAGGCCCUGGGUUCAAUUCCUAGCACCA